GAUGAACGCUGGCGGCGUGCCUAAUACAUGCAAGUCGAGCGAACGGACGAGAAGCUUGCUUCUCUGAUGUUAGCGGCGGACGGGUGAGUAACACGUGGAUAACCUACCUAUAAGACUGGGAUAACUUCGGGAAACCGUAGCUAAUACCGGAUAAUAUUUUGAACCGCAUGGUUCAAAAGUGAAAGAAGGUCUUGCUGUCACUUAUAGAUGGAUCCGCGCCGCAUUAGCUAGUUGGUAAGGUAACGGCUUACCAAGGCAACGAUGCAUAGCCGACCUGAGAGGGUGAUCGGCCACACUGGAACUGAGACACGGUCCAGACUCCUACGGGAGGCAGCAGUAGGGAAUCUUCCGCAAUGGGCGAAAGCCUGACGGAGCAACGCCGCGUGAGUGAUGAAGGUCUUCGGAUCGUAAAACUCUGUUAUUAGGGAAGAACAUAUGUGUAAGUAACUGUGCACAUCUUGACGGUACCUAAUCAGAAAGCCACGGCUAACUACGUG
rnacentral:rRNA from 1 species